rnacentral:snoRNA from 1 species
AUUAGUAUGAUGAUAACUUUGAUAGGGACAUCUGAUGUCUAUGAUUGAUUUAUCACUUUUUAACAAAACUGAUUCA